rnacentral:rRNA from 1 species
UACGUAGGGUGCGAGCGUUAAUCGGAAUUACUGGGCGUAAAGCGUGCGCAGGCGGUGAUGUAAGACAGGUGUGAAAUCCCGGGGCUCAACCUCGGAACUGCAUUUGUGACUGCAUCGCUGGAGUGCGGCAGAGGGGGAUGGAAUUCCGCGUGUAGCAGUGAAAUGCGUAGAUAUGCGGAGGAACACCGAUGGCGAAGGCAAUCCCCUGGGCCUGCACUGACGCUCAUGCACGAAAGCGUGGGGAGCGAACAGG